rnacentral:rRNA from 1 species
AUGGGGGUGUUUAAGCUACCAAUGUCUGUAUGUGAUGACCUCAACCGUAUGGUAUGGAACUUCUGGUGGGGUGCAUCGGAAGGGAAGAGGAAGACACAUUGGCUAGCAUGGCCAAAGAUCUUGGCGCACAAAACUCAGGGCGGGCUGGGUUUCCGCAAUUUUCGCGCCUUCAACUAGGCCCUGCUGGCCCGGCAGGUGUGGCGCUUACUAAUUAAUCCUCACAGCUUAUGUGUGCAGGUGCUCAAGGCGAGGUAUUACCCCGAGGGCCGCCUCAAGGAUACAAUCUUCUCCGGCAACGCCUCCCCUAUGUGGCAGGCCAUUCAAUAUGGCCUCGAGCUUCUCAAGAAGGGCCUCGUCUGGCGUGUAGGGGAUGGCCGAAACAUCCGGAUUUGGCGAGAUCGUUGGAUCCCCCGCGAGCCUUCACGCCAACUUAUUACCCAAUACGGUACUUGUCGACUACGAUGAGUGGUCGAGCUCCUGCACGAGGACGGGGCAUGGCGUCUUGACCUGCUCCAUCGCUACUUCCACCCGACAGACGUGGAGGUGAUAUCCAACAUACGUACUCCGACCCGCGUUACCGACGACAUCAUCACAUGGGCUCCGGAGAAGAACGAUAUCUUCAUCGUUCGAUCCGCUUACCGGUUCGCCAUGGACGAGCGCGAGCAUCCACUGGCCACCGCCACGAGCAGGGCACCGGAUGGUCAUCGCGCCAUCUGGAAGAUCAUAUGGGGGUGCCCUGCUCCCCCUAAGGUACGCGUGUUUGCUUGGAGGAUCGUUACGGACUCGCUUGCUACUUGGGCAAAUAAGCUCUCUCGUCAUCUUGAGGUUUCUGAUCUAUGCCCCUUGUGUGGACUGGAACGGGAGGAUAUGUUCCACGCUUUUUUGCAGGUGCCCCUUGGCAAAGGAGCUGUGGCACGCCAUGGCCAUGGAUUGGUGUAUCCCCAAGGUGGAGGACAUCAUGAACACUGGUCCAGAAUGGCUCUUCACCCUGCUACACCCCCUUGA